GACGAACGCUGGCGGCGUGCUUAACACAUGCAAGUCGAGCGGAAAGGCCCUUCGGGGUCCUCGAGCGGCGAACGGGUGAGUAACACGUGAGUAACCUGCCCCAGACUUUGGGAUAACCCUCGGAAACGGGGGCUAAUACCGGAUACGACACAGCUUCGCAUGGGGUCUGUGUGGAAAGUUUUUCGGUUUGGGAUGGGCUCGCGGCCUAUCAGCUUGUUGGUGGGGUGAUGGCCUACCAAGGCGACGACGGGUAGCCGGCCUGAGAGGGCGACCGGCCACACUGGGACUGAGACACGGCCCAGACUCCUACGGGAGGCAGCAGUGGGGAAUAUUGCACAAUGGGCGGAAGCCUGAUGCAGCGACGCCGCGUGAGGGAUGACGGCCUUCGGAUUGUAAACCUCUUUCAGCAGGGACGAAGCGUAAGUGACGGUACCUGCAGAAGAAGCGCCGGCCAACUACGU
rnacentral:rRNA from 1 species